rnacentral:rRNA from 1 species
CAGCAGCCGCGGUAAUACGUAGGGUGCGAGCGUUAAUCGGAAUUACUGGGCGUAAAGCGUGCGCAGGCGGUUUUGUAAGACAGAGGUGAAAUCCCCGGGCUCAACCUGGGAACUGCCUUUGUGACUGCAAGGCUAGAGUACGGCAGAGGGGGAUGGAAUUCCGCGUGUAGCAGUGAAAUGCGUAGAUAUGCGGAGGAACACCGAUGGCGAAGGCAAUCCCCUGGGCCUGUACUGACGCUCAUGCACGAAAGCGUGGGGAGCAAACAGGAUUAGAUACCCCUGUAGUCCCUGUCUCUUAUAC